AUGAUGUUGCUUCUGCUGGUCCUCAUAUUUUCCAUUUUUAAGGGUAAAGCGAAUGGGAAUGUCAUCAGACCAAACCAAGCGUCUGUAGUUUUAACUGAAGGAAGCAGCACCACUCUGUCCUGUACAUAUGAUGGAUCAGCUUACAGUCUCCACUCAUAUCGGCAGAAGCCUGGAUCAAAACCAGAGUUUCUGCUGCUGAUUGAUGAGUCUUCUAAGUAUGUCACAAGAGCUGACCAACCUUAUCCACAUAUGUCCAUCAGACUCCAUGAUGAUAAACGUGUGGAUCUGGAGAUCUCCUCUGCUGCUGUAUCAGACUCUGCUGUGUAUUACUGUGCUCUGCAGCCCACAGUGACAGAAAAACCAACUACACUGUACAAAAACUUGUUUCUUGCAUAUUGUAUAGUCAUAUAUCCAGGCACGUGCACACAUAGACAUCAAAGGGGGCUUGAGCACCUACCCUUUUUCUAA